rnacentral:rRNA from 1 species
ACGGAGGGUGCAAGCGUUAUUCGGAAUUACUGGGCGUAAAGCGCGCGUAGGCGGCUCGGACAGUCUGGUGUGAAAUCCCUCGACUCAAUCGGGGAAGUGCAUUGGAUACUACCGGGCUCGAGUACUGGAGGGGAGAACGGAAUUCCAGGUGUAGAGGUGAAAUUCGUAGAUAUCUGGAGGAACAACGGUGGCGAAGGCGGUUCUCUGGACAGUAACUGACGCUGAGGCGCGAAAGUGUGGGGAGCAAACAG